rnacentral:rRNA from 1 species
AUACGGAGGGGGCAAGCGUUGUUCGGAAUUAUUGGGCGUAAAGGGCGCGUAGGCGGCACUGUAAGUCGGUUGUGAAAUCCCUUGGCUCAACCAAGGAACUGCAACCGAAACUACAGAGCUAGAGUCCGGGAGAGGGUAGUGGAAUUCCCAGUGUAGCGGUGAAAUGCGUAGAUAUUGGGAGGAACACCAGUGGCGAAGGCGGCUACCUGGCUUGAUACUGACGCUGAGGUGCGAAAGCGUGGGGAGCGAACAGGAUUAGAUACCCCAGUAGUCC